CGGGUUUAUUGUUGUGAGCAGACAUAUCUCCAUGCCUUUGGGAUGGAGUAAGCCAGAAUGAAGAAGAUCUGUCCUACAUGUUUGACGAAACAACACCUGUUAAGGCCUGUGGGGAUUUGGCUUACCAUGUUGCUGACAAUGUAAACAUGGACAAGGAAUUACAGCAAUGCACGGAGAUGUCUUCACAAGUAAAGAGACGUCGAAUGCUGCAGUUUGACAAUGAGAUUUUGGGUUCCCCUCUUUGCAAUGAGGAGAUAUCAUCUGUCUUCUUAAAAUCGAAGGAGAGAGAAGAUUCGCUUGAAGAGGCUUUAUCUGAUAUGUCGCAUUGGGUGUCUGGUUUUGAAGAGGAAACAUCUGCAACUGGUCAUGAGGGCCUGGAUCAGUCAUCUGAGGGAUGGCUAGCUGAUUGCUUCAAUAAUGAUGAGAUGCAUUGCAGCCCUGAUGAUCUGUGCGUGAUCUUGUGGAAGCGUCAAAUAUGUAUGGCACUUUAAAUAACGUACUUGACGUUGAUGUCAAAAAUGACACAGUGAGAACACAAGGAAGCCUUUCAUGUAAUCUACGCAGAGUUAGGCAGGGUCUCGACCUCAUCAGAGCUAUAUUCGAAAAUUUUUUGUCUUCAGAGUAUUGCUCUUUAAAAGAAGCAGCCUCAGAAGCUUAUGCACAAGUUUGUGCACCAUACCAUACAUGGGCAGUCAGGACAGCAGUUUAUGCUGGAAUGUGUGCUCUCCCAACGUGGGAACAACUGCUGCUGAAGCUAAAUGAAAAUGGUGAGAUUGUGAUCCCUUUAUAGGCAGAAGUGAUAUGGUUUUGUGUCAUAAUUUGACCUGGACCAUUGUUAAAGUUUUGAAUUAAAUUCCACAAAUUAGGCCCUUUACUAGUACCGGAGCCGAAGUAAAUGAGCACACCAAAACAUGUUGACAGUAUUAAUAAUCAUUGAUAAAGCAUGCCACAGUAAAUAUGAAUACUGUGUGUGGAAAUUAUUGACUAA